CUUGACUCACAUAAGAGGUCCAGCCUGCCCAGUGAUAUAAAAUUCAACGGCCGCGGUAACCUAACCGUGCAAAGGUAGCAUAAUCACUUGUUCUCUAAAUAGGGACUUGUAUCAACGGCACCACGAGGGCUAUACUGUCUCCUUUCUCCAAUCAGUGAAACUGAUCUCCCCGUGAAGAAGCGGGGAUUUUUCUAUAAGACGAGAAGACCCCAUGGAGCUUUAAGCAACACAUUUACUUUUUAUCUUUAUAUCAACUUAACAAAAUACCUAAAUAUUAGCUUUAGGUUGGGGGGACCGCGGAGUAUAAUAUAACCUCCACGACAAAUGGGCCACGCCCUUAUCCACGAGCCACAACUCUAAGAAUCAAUAAACUGAUGUUUAAUGAUCCGAUAAUUCGAUCAACGAACCA
rnacentral:rRNA from 1 species